CUCUGAAUGGCAUAUGUUGAAGAACCACAAAGUGAAAGGAGGCUGAGUUACUGGGUCUCUAUCAGACUAGAAAUGUUUAUAAGGACUGGUAGACUCUGGCUGUUCUUUGCCACCUGGUCCCCCAACCACCUUGUGAGGCUUCUGUGAUAGCUUUCCACUGCUCCAGUGCGUGCUUGUGACGUGAUAGAAUUUUAGAUAUGGAUGGACCCAGGGAAUCUUCUGUUCUCCUCCAGUUUCCAAGAGGGAAUUCUGAGGCAUCAAGAAGGAGCUCAGUGCUGCUCUCUCACUUCUCCAGCUGGCCACAGGGCUCUGCCCACCCCUCCCUGGUCCACAGACAGGAGGGGUACUGAAGCAGGAAUAUCUUCCCAAGCUUUCUGGAGCUAA